CUGGCCCUGAAUCAAGCUGAUGCUGUUGGUUUCAAGCAGAAGCCUAAAGAGAUGUCUUUCUAUGGUCUGUUGGCCAUUUCAGAACUUGGGCAGUGAAAUGGUCAAUUCAUUAGAAAGCAACAGCU
rnacentral:snoRNA from 1 species